GUCAACUUUUUAACUGUAGAAGCUGGUGAGGAACUGGACACUCAUGCUAGUCUUUAUGAGUCUACACAUGAAGUGAAGGAUUCCCACAAUCUAGUCUGCACUGUUCAUUCCCUCAGUGUUUAACCCAGUUUGCUCAUAAGCAUGUGGGAGAAGCACACAUCUUUCUCACAAAACUUUUUUGUGAGACAAGCAUUCCAAAAACUGUGUCUGUGUGACCACAAGAAGCAAGCAGAGGAGGAACUGAUGAUUUUAAACAGAAGGGACAGAUUGACAGAAACAGAAAAUGGUUGAAAAGUGUUGUUUGUUUCUUUUGGGACUGAUAAUCAUUUCUCACAGGUAAAACAUUUCUACACACUCUAAGACAUCUGUGAAAGAAUUAUAUUUAAAAAUACAUACAUAUCAGUGGAGUGGAUGAGACUCAUGUGUUGUGCGGUUCUGAUGAAAAUGUGCGUCUGCUCUGUAAUAAUGCUCGCUCUGACCGCACAUCAACUACAGGGAUCUAUAACAGAUCAAAAUUCAGCUACAGUUGAACUACUUUAGGGAUAAAGAGGAAUGACAGAGAAAGACCCCGGCAAACAGUGGUCCGACAGCAAUAUUGUGUCCCUGGCCAAAAAUAGUCACCAUAGGACGGCAUAAAUCAGUUAAAAUAUGUAACACAGAACUUUUCCUAAAAAUGCAUUCAGUUACGUUUGUACAUGGCUACAAUUCUCUGGGGUUGCAUGUAUUAAUUGUUACUUUGACUUUUAGCUACGUUUACUUCAAUAUAUAAUAAUCAAUGAAUAAAUUGAUUAAUAAGAUAAUGUCAAAGACUUCCAUUCAGAUUUCAUUUUGGAACUAUUUGUCAACCAUGACAGGACGUGUCGGAGGGAUGUCUUUUCAACAGUCAUUAAACGUCCAAAUGUUUGCUGGGACGUGAGAGACUGAGUCUGGGGUCAGACUCCCAGUCUCUUCAUCAUCCUCACAGACUGAGAUCAGACCAGGCAGGGUAGCAUUUCCCAAAAGCAUCGUAAGCCUAAGUUGAUCAUAGCUCCAUUGGUGGCAAUGGUUCUACGAUCAACUUAGGCUUACGAUGCUUUUGGGAAUCACAGCCCAGCUCUGUGACUGUCUUCUGCCAGUUAAAUUCAUAUAAUGAUUUUCCUUGUGAAACUUUGAUCUGUAUUGAUGGAAUUCAGUUGAUCUGGGUGAAUCAGGCUGGUGUUAGUGUGAUGACAGACUCCAGAUAUCAGAUAUUAUUCUCCUCAACACACUGUAUCAGCAAUCUGACUACAACACUCCUGAAUGAAGAUCUCAACAGAGAGUGGAGAUGUCAGGUUAUAAAAAUGAGCUGAAGACCUCAACCACAACAAGUAACAAGUAUUCAGCUCAAGAUGAUCCAAUGACUCCAGUGAUUCCGGUCCACACCACAAACUCUGAGGAGCCUUUAACUAGAAACAAAUCAAAAAGGCCAAUACAAGGUAAUCACUGUCUUACUCUGUUUCUCUUCAAGCUUUAAGAGACACAGCAGAGAGUACAGCAGAUCACAAUCUUUGUGAAUUAAAUGAACGUUAAUGUUUGUUAAUGUACUUGAGCAUCUAUUUUCUUAUUUGCUCAAGGAACAUAUUAUGGUCAUGAUAUAUCAUUUUAGAUGCAUCAUGACCACAAUGCCCGAUACUGUGUAACUUUUAAAAUAAUCAUGUCUGUUUGUCAUGGCACUUAGUAUGAUUGUGUGCAGAACUGCUCCUCGCCAACUAUAACUGUUGAAAAAGACUAUGAAAUUAAAUCCUAUUUGUUACACGAAUAUUUUUUUUUAUUUUCAAGUCUGAAUGUACUGUUCUCUGCUCUCUCCCUCAGUGACUGUGAUUGUUGUAGUUACUGCAUUAGCUGUUCUCCUUGCUGUUAUUCUUUGAGUGAUUUGUAAAAAAGGUGAGUUUUCAUAAUUAUUAAUAUUUUACAACAAAUACUGGUCCCACUUUAUAUUAGGUGGCCUUAUGUUCUUACAAUUAAACUAAUCAU